rnacentral:rRNA from 1 species
GUGAACUCGGGGGAAGCGGCGGUGGUAAGAAGGAUGGUGCAAGCGUUAUCCGGAUUUUCUGGGUUUAAAGGGUGCGCAGGCGGAUAUGUAAGUCAGUGGUGAAAGCUCUAGGCUUAACCUGGAAAUUGCCGUUGAUACUAUAUAUCUUGAAUGCUGGGGAGGUAAGCGGAAUAUGUCAUGUAGCGGUGAAAUGCUUAGAUAUGACAUAGAACACCUAUUGCGAAGGCAGCUUACUACGCAGAUAUUGACGCUCAUGCACGAAAGCGUGGGGAUCAAACAGGAUUAGAUACCCGAGUAGUC